rnacentral:rRNA from 1 species
UACGGAGGGUGCAAGCGUUGCUCGGAAUUAUUGGGCGUAAAGGGCAGGUAGGUGGUCCGAUUUGUCUGGGGUGAAAGCCUUGAGCUUAACUCAAGAAGUGCCCCAGAAACGGUCGGACUCGAGUGCUGGAGAGGCUAGCGGAAUACCCGGUGUAGCGGUGAAAUGCGUAGAGAUCGGGUGGAACACCAGAGGCGAAGGCGGCUAGCUGGACAGUGACUGACACUCAACUGCGAAAGCGUGGGGAGCAAACAGGGAUUAAGAA